rnacentral:lncRNA from 1 species
UGAUUUGUUUGCUAUGCUAUACGUCCAUGGGUAGAGACCCUCUCUAUUUAUAGAUAAUUUUCAUGACCUAAUAAGUAUAGAAGUUCUAACUCAAAUCUGAUUUGAAUCAGUCCAAUACUUAUGAAAGAAAGAUUCCUACAUGAGAUAGAAUUGCCAUCACAUAUGACAAUCAAAUUGCACCCAAUCUCUCACCCACAUGGGAUGCCCCAAACUAGCACCAUUGUAGGUG